CAGCCGCCGCGGUAAUACAGAGGGUGCAAGCGUUAAUCGGAAUUACUGGGCGUAAAGCGCGCGUAGGUGGUUUGUUAAGUUGGAUGUGAAAUCCCCGGGCUAAACCUGGGAACUGCAUCCAAAACUGGCAAGCUAGAGUAUGGUAGAGGGUGGUGGAAUUUCCUGUGUAGCGGUGAAAUGCGUAGAUAUAGGAAGGAACACCAGUGGCGAAGGCGACCACCUGGACUGAUACUGACACUGAGGUGCGAAAGCGUGGGGAGCAAACAGGAUUAGAUACCCCUGUAGUCCCUGUCUCUUAUAC
rnacentral:rRNA from 1 species